rnacentral:rRNA from 1 species
GAGGGGCUUUAGCCGCCUUUAAUAGUUGAAAAAGUAAAAGCCUACCAAGACGAUGAUGUGUAGCUGGACUGAGAGGUUGAACAGCCACAUUGGGACUGAGACACGGCCCAAACUCCUACGGGAGGCAGCAGUAGGGAAUUUUCGGCAAUGGAGGAAACUCUGACCGAGCAACGCCGCGUGAACGAUGAAGUAUUUCGGUAUGUAAAGUUCUUUUAUUGAAGAAGAAAAAGUAGUGGAAAAACUAUAUUGACGUUAUUCAAUGAAUAAGCCCCGGCUAACUAUGUGCCAGCACCCGCGGUAAGACAUAGGGGGCGAGCGUUAUCCGGAAUUAUUGGGCGUAAAGGGUGCGUAGGCUGUUAGAUAAGUCUAUAAUUUAAUUUCAGUGCUUAACGCUGUCUUGUUAUAGAAACUGUCUUGACUAGAGUGAGAUAGAGGCAAGCGGAAUUCCAUGUGUAGCGGUAAAAUGUGUAAAUAUAUGGAGGAACACCAGAAGCGUAGGCGGCUUGCUGGGUCUUUACUGACGCUGAGGCACGAAAGCGUGGGUAGCAAACAGGAUUAGAUACCCUGGUAGUCCACGCCGUAAACGAUGAGUACUAAGUGUCGGGGUAAAACUCGGUACUGAAGUUAACACAUUAAGUACUCCGCCUGAGUAGUACGUACGCAAGUAUGAAACUUAAAGGAAUUGACGGGACUCCGCACAAGCGGUGGAUCAUGUUGUUUAAUUCGAAGAUACACGAAAAAUCUUACCAGGUCUUGACAUACUCUGCAAAGCUAUAGAAAUAUAGUGGAGGUUAUCAGGGAUACAGGUGGUGCAUGGUUGUCGUCAGUUCGUGUCGUGAGAUGUUAGGUUAAGUCCUAAAACGAACGCAACCCUUGUCGUUAAUUGCCAGCACAUAAUGGUGGGGACUUUAACGAGACUGCCAAUUAAACAUUGGAGGAAGGUGAGGAUUACGUCAAAUCAUCAUGCCCCUUAUGAUCUGGGCUACAAACGUGAUACAAUGGCUGUGACAAAGAGUAGCUGAAACGCGAGUUUUUAGCCAAUCUCAAAAAAGCAGUCUCAGUUCGGAUUGAAGUCUGUAACUCGACUUCAUGAAGUUGGAAUCGCUAGUAAUCGCGAAUCAGCAUGUCGCGGUGAAUAC